rnacentral:rRNA from 1 species
UACAGAGGUCCCAAGCGUUGUUCGGAUUCACUGGGCGUAAAGGGUGCGUAGGCGGUCGGGUAAGUCUGAUGUGAAAUCUCACAGCUUAACUGUGAAACUGCAUUGGAUACUAUUCGGCUUGAGAGUUGGAGGGGGGACUGGAAUUCUUGGUGUAGCAGUGAAAUGCGUAGAUAUCAAGAGGAACACCAGUGGCGAAGGCGGCUCACUGGCCCGGUACUGACGCUGAGGUGCGAAAGCGUGGGGAGCGAACAGG